rnacentral:lncRNA from 1 species
AUAAAGCAAGAAAAUGAAGAAAGCAACAUAAGUGGGUAAGAAAUCCUUAACCACAAGCUUCAAAUCUUCAAGACAAAAGUGUGUGUGCAAAACCUAGCUUCCAACCAUGUUAUCUCAAGCCCUAAGAACUUAAAAUACGCCUAAGGUCUGCCAAAGACUCGUACAAAAUGAGCUGAUUUGGGUAUUAAAGGGUUUGGGGUCAACAAUGUAAAAUUCAUGUACUGCCCAGUUUCCACGCCAAAUUGUUCAUCGCGUUCGCGCUCAAACCUUCGCGCUCGUGAAGGUUUACUUUUCUCAGCCAUCGCAUUCGCGUAUAUAUCUUCGCGUUCACGAAGGUUCCUAUUUUGCUUCAAUGUGUUCUCGUGUGUACUAUGCAUUCGCGUAGGUUUAAAUUUUGUAUCUUUGCGUUCGCGUUUAUCCCUAUGUGUUCGCGUAGGUUUGGUUACUAAUUCAUCGCGUUCGUGUGCUUUACUUCGCGUUCGCGAAGGCCUGUGUCUUGCUUCUUUGCGUUCGGGUUGUGUACUUCACAUUCAUGAAGAAUAAUUCACUGGGCAAGUUCAUUUUGUCCAUUUUAGCUCCUUUUGACUUGUUUUCACUUGGUUUCUCCACCCUUUACUUCUAAAUCACAUAAAACCUGUAAAAUGGAAGUAAAAGACAUUAAACAAAUGAUUUUUAUUACUUAAACAUAACAAAUGUAUAGGCUUAAGGACAAGAGCUAUAACCAAUUCGAGUAAACACGAACACAUAACCGGCGAGCAAAUUCAGAACCACAGAGAACAAUCUUUUAAAUCUUAAAAGGCUUCAAAUUUUAUUUUGGACAAGAUUCACUAUAGUCUCAUAUCUGUAGUAAUUGCUUUACGCUGAUAUACUCUACUGAAAAUACUUUUUCGGGUAUCACAGUUUAGAUUAUAAAAGAACUGAUGGUAUAGUCAAAUCUUAAAACAAUAUAAUUCAAACCAGUACGCUACGACUUCUAAUAAUAAAAACAAACAAAGCAAAACAAAGGAAACACCACAAAUUACACAUACAGUUAUCAUCUUAAAGCAAAACUUUUGAUUGAAUGCAAUUAUAUUUGUUUUUCAACUUAAAAGAAAAUUCUUAACCGAAAAUAGAACACAAAGAUCUGAAACAGAAUAGAGCGAAUCGUGACAAGAAACGACACCGAGAACCGACAACGGAAAACCUCGAAACAGCUAUUUCUAAUGUUGAUCGCUCGAAUGGGAUCUCGCCGGUGAAUUCGCCGUGUUGCGUGUGCAAAGGAGCUGUUUUUACUGGAGAUUUGUGGAGUUUUUAUGGCUGAAAUAAUGGUGUCUUCUGCAACGAUUAAUGGAGCUCGCCGGAACAUAUUAUCUGGCAAAAAACAAAAAAGAGAUCUGGCCAGCAAAUAAAGUCACCGAACAAUGACCUCGAAUCGGGCACAAAGCAACUUUCAAACUCAAAUGAAAUCCAUGAGUUUGAAAGCAAAAAUCGAGAUCGAAAUCAACGAGAAGAAACCAAAACUCGGCAGAGGUGUACUAGGUCGAGCGGUCUUCAGGCUUUGGUGUUCUGCGUCUGCUUUUGGUGGUGGUCGGCGUUUCUCGACGAGUUCGCCAUUGGUUUGGUGAGGGUCUGUUUUUGCUGGGUUCUCAAAGUUGAAGAUGGGUCUUAGGCGUUCGGUAUCCUAAAAAAGAAGAGCUGAACGCCCUCUACGCCCAGGAUGAGAAAAAUGGCUCUUCCUUUCUGAUGUUCCUAGAGUUAAGUCUUGUGAAGAUGAAAAUCAAGCUUUGGGUCGCUGGGAUUUUCAGCGUUUUCCCAUGAUAAAAACAACGGCUGAUAUGGAGUUAUUCUUUUGAAGAAUGACGUGGUGGGGUUUUUUUUUGUCAAAAACUGCUGAUAUUCUAAGAGUCUAGGGUAUAGGUUUUUUUGAGCAAAAUUCAUUUCUAGCCAUUCGUUAAAAAAUAAUAGCAUUAUAGUAACCAUAAAAUCCGGUAACUAAAAUUAGGCACGACAUGAUAUUCCCAUUUCAUUACUCUGUCGUUUGAUUUUGAUUUUCUAUCAUUUCAACAAACUAAAUAAUAUCUCCCCACAAUAUUGUUUCUCUUUGUUUUACUCCAUAUUGAUAGUACUAGUAGUUUUGAAGCAUGACAUAAAAACAAAUUACUAUAUACUUUGAAGUUAAAUGUGUUUAUAAAAAGCGAUUUCAUU